UACGGAGGGGGCUAGCGUUGUUCGGAAUUACUGGGCGUAAAGGGCGCGUAGGCGGCCCGCUAAGUCGGACGUGAAAUCCCCGAGCUCAACUCGGGAACUGCGUCCGAUACUGGCGGGCUUGAGUCCGGGAGAGGGAUGCGGAAUUCCAGGUGUAGCGGUGAAAUGCGUAGAUAUCUGGAGGAACACCGGUGGCGAAGGCGGCAUCCUGGACCGGCAUUGACGCUGAGGCGCGAAAGCGAGGGGAGCAAACGGG
rnacentral:rRNA from 1 species